rnacentral:rRNA from 1 species
UACGUAGGGUGCGAGCGUUAAUCGGAAUUACUGGGCGUAAAGCGUGCGCAGGCGGUUUUGUAAGCCAGAUGUGAAAGCCCCGGGCUUAACCUGGGAACGGCAUUUGGGACUGCAAGGCUGGAGUGUGGCAGAGGAGACUGGAAUUCCUGGUGUAGCAGUGAAAUGCGUAGAUAUCAGGAGGAAUACCGAUGGCGAAGGCAGGUCUCUGGGCUGACACUGACGCUCAUGCACGAAAGCGUGGGGAGCAAACAGG